GGCGCAUACAAAGAGAAGCGACCUCGCGAGAGCAAGCGGACCUCAUAAAGUGCGUCGUAGUCCGGAUUGGAGUCUGCAACUCGACUCCAUGAAGUCGGAAUCGCUAGUAAUCGUGGAUCAGAAUGCCACGGUGAAUACGUUCCCGGGCCUUGUACACACCGCCCGUCACACCAUGGGAGUGGGUUGCAAAAGAAGUAGGUAGCUUAACCUUCGGGAGGGCGCUUACCACUUUGUGAUUCAUGACUGGGGUGAAGUCGUAACAAGGUAACCGUAGGGGAACCUGCGGUUGGAUCACC
rnacentral:rRNA from 1 species